rnacentral:lncRNA from 1 species
UUGUGUUUCUUGUGACCAGAGAACCCCAAGUGAUGUCAGAAGACUUUCCCUGGCCUCUGCUGUCCAAGAGUCAGGGACAGACUCAGAGCCACUUUACAGGUUGGGCAAGGGAUCCCCGAUGGCAAUGCUAAGCCUUGCAGAUCCAUCAAAGAAAGACUCAGGAAGUAAAGUCUUCACAGAGUGACUCUCGUGGGCUGAGGUCACAUCUGUUUCUGUCUUUUCCUUGAUCCUCCCCAAGAACCAGAGAGAAAGAAGG